UACGAAGGGGGGCUAGCGUUGCUCGGAAUCACUGGGCGUAAAGCGCACGUAGGCGGAUCCUUAAGUCGGGGGGUGAAAUCCUGGAGCUCAACUCCAGAACUGCCUUCGGUACUGAGGAUCUCGAGUCCGGGGAGAGGUGAGUGGAACUGCGAGUGUAGAGGUGAAAUUCGUAGAUAUUCGCAAGAACACCAGUGGCGAAGGCGGCUCACUGGCCCGAUACUGACGCUGAGGCACGAAAGCGUGGGGAGCAAACAGG
rnacentral:rRNA from 1 species